GCGGGCGUGGCGGAACGGCAGACGCGCUGGUCUUAGGAACCAGUACCUCGGUGUAUGGGUUCAAGUCCCAUCGCCCGCACCA
rnacentral:tRNA from 1 species